CAUAAUUAAUACAACUAUUUUUGAAUAUAGCUCUUCCGGAAAUGCGCCUCCUGUUAAAAACUCCACAGCUUAUCAAAAACGAAAAUGAACUGAGGCGUCGUAGUACAAAAACACUUUCAUUGUCAUUUAGGUACAUAUAUUGCCAAUUAACACAUGAAAGAAUCUGUGAACAAUUGAUUGAGUGCCAUUGGAAAUAAAAGUUGAUUGAUCGUAAUGUAAUGGGUGAAGCUUUGAAAUAUGUAAACCAUUUUAAUAAAAAAACAGAAUGGCUUCAACAAAACAGCGAAUCCAUAGAAAACACACAUACAUAUACAUAUACGGUGCAUAUGUGUUUAUAAAUCAAUCCAAAAGCGUUAACUUAAAUUAUUCCAAAAUCUUACAUAGGGUCUCAUGUGUUUCAUUUUGCAUUUGUUUAUACAUACGUAUUUAUAUUAGGUUAUAUGCAGUUGUGUAUGUGUUUUUAGUUUAGUAUCAUAAAAAAAUAUUUCCUUAUUCAUCAUUUUCCUUGCAUAAAUUUCGCGUAAGUAUUUUGCGUUCACCGAAAUGAAUUGUAGGGAUUUUUUUUGUAUUUCGAGGCAAUUAGAUACAUUAUCAAUAUAUAUGUAUGUAAUAGUGUGGUGUUAAUUAAAACAAUUUUUUAAAUAUGUCAUGCAUUUCAAAAUUUAUAAUUAUGUGUUUUGAUGCCGUUCCUUAGCUUGAGUUCGCAAAUUGAAACAAUUUUUGAACAUGUUUAGGUUACGAGCAAGUUUAAAUUUUGCAUUUUCGCAAAUAAAUUCAGCUGACACAUGUCAAAAGUUGAUUUAAACGACACAUUUGUAGUAUGUGCGUGCAAGUUGCUAAGUAAUAAAGUACGUAUGUAUGUAUUUGAGAAGUGAAUUUGUUUAGAUAAUUUUAUAAAAGAUUAUACUUUUGGUUAAGUGUAUUGUAAACUAUUUUGGAAGAUAUAUUCGAGUUUAAACUACCUUUCAUCUUAUGUAAGUGUGUAUGUAUGAAAUACAAUUAUGUUAUGAUUUGCAAGUUAAAAAUUAAUAAUUAAAUAAAUAAAUCAAUUAAAAUAAGUAGUUUUCUUUCGUGAAAAUAACAACAAUAAGCACACGUCGUUAAAAAUUUCAACAUUUUACUUUUCAAUUCGAAAAAGUGAAAUCUUGAACACAGCUCUUGGAGACGUGUUGAAUGCAUACACAUAUUUGAUGUUAAAAAUAAUAUGUGAUUAUGCAAUAAAAUGCUGAAAAUUUAGAAGGAAAACAUAUUAACUAGUCAGUUUAUAUAGAUAUACAUGUUCGCUGCUUUCAUACUACUUUCAUUUUCAUAGAUAAAAUUGAGAGUGAAAUGUUCAGAACAAUAGCUUCGUAAGCAUAAUUACAUAGCGUGCUAAGGAUUUCAAAGCAAAAAAGCAGUAAAAAUUGUAGCACGCAAUUGAAAUAAUUUUCUACUUCUUGCCGCAUUGGGUAUGUCGUUAACAUAUACAAUGUAUUUCAAAGGUGGAGACUUGACUAAAUUUUUUUAAAACAAAAAAAAAAAAAACAGUAUAUUGCAUAGAGUUUCAGCAUGUUUAAUUGCAACUAGAUAUUUAGUAUAAAAAUAACAUAAAUAAAAUCGGCAAAUUAUACAAUUUAAUAUUAAUAUGUAUUUUAGGCUCGGCAGUUUGGUGGAAAACUAAAAAUUAAUACAAUUUAAUACAAAUUAAUUCUUAACAUUUCGAGUUUUCAAACAAACAAAUUACGAUUUAAAGAGAUUAUACAGUUAGUUGCCAUUGUAGUGUAAAUCAAAUCAGUACAAUCACCGCAUAACUAUGCAAAUGCUACAAUGCGUUACAUAACAUACAACAAGUUGAGAUAGAAUCAUAUAAUUUUCUUUUGCCUCCUUUUCCAUGCAUGUACACAUCCGUUUCGAGGUAAUAAUAUUCGUGUUUAAAUGUUUGUUUAUGUGUGUUUAUUGAUUUCCAUGAAGUAAUCAGCGCAGUCGUUAACUCAUUUGCCUACACAUUUUCACAUAAAAACUUACUUAACAAUUAUUACUUAUAUAUGCGGCAAAGAAGUAUAAAGAGAAUCAUUGUGAAUGUAAAUGUAGGUGGACAAUUAAAAAAGAGAAUUAAAUUAAAAAAAAAAA